rnacentral:rRNA from 1 species
UUUAUAUUUAUUGAUUUUAAUAUUAUUAAAAAUAUAUUUAUUUUAAUAAAAAUAAUUUUAUAAUUUAGUUUGUUUAAAGUAUAGGUUAUAGAAAUAAUAAUGUUUAUUAUAGUUAAUUAGUAUUGUAAAAGAAUAUUGAAAUAAAUUGAAAAAUUAUUAUUUAAAAAGAAGAUUUAGUUUAUUGUACCUUGUGUAUCAGGGCUUAUUAAAUAUAUUAUAUGAAUUUAUAAAUUUCGAAUUUAAAAGAGUUAAUAAAUUAUUUUAUUUAAUGUUGAAUAAUUAUUAAUAAUAAUUUAUUAGAAAUGAAAUGUUAUUCGUUUUUAAUGAUAUCUAAUUUUUUAAGAAAUAAAUUUAAUUUAGAUUUUUAAAUGAAUUUUAUUAAAUUUUUAAUAAAAUUUUUUAUAAAUUUAAUAUUUUAUGGGAUAAGCUAUAAAAUAAAUAUUUAUAAUUUAAAUUUGUAAUAUAAAAAAUGUAUAUUUAGAAAUAGUAAUCAUUAAUAAAAAUGUUAUAAUUUAUUUUUAUAUUUAUAUUAUUUAUUUAAUUUUAAAUUUCUAUUAAAGUAUUUAUUUUAAUUAUAAAAUUAAAUUAAUAAUGAUAAAAUUAGUAUAAUAUAAUUAUUUAUAAAUAAUUAUUUUUGAUAGGUUUAUUAUAAAGAAUUCGGCAAAUAAUAUAUUCGCCUGUUUAACAAAAACAUGUCUUUUAGAGUUAAAUUAAAAGUCUGACCUGCCCAAUGAAUUUAAUUUUAAUGGCUGCAGUAUAUUAACUGUACAAAGGUAGCAUAAUAAUUAGUCUUUUAAUUGAAGGCUUGUAUGAAUGGUUGAACGAGAUAUUAUCUGUUUCAUAAAAAUUUUUAUUAAAAUUUUAUUUUUUAGUUAAAAAGCUAAGAUUAAAUUAAAAGACGAGAAGACCCUAUAGAUCUUUAUAAUUUAUAUAUUUUAUUUAUUUAGGCAUAUUUAAUUAUUAUAUUUAAAAUUAUUUUAUUGGGGUGAUAAUAAAAUUUAAAAAACUUUUAUAAUAGUUGUAUUACAUAAAUUUAUGAAUUUUUGAUCCAUAAUUAAUGAUUAAUAAAAUAAGUUACCUUAGGGAUAACAGCGUAAUUUUUUUUGAGAGUUCAUAUCGAUAAAAAAGAUUGCGACCUCGAUGUUGGAUUAAGAUAAAAUUUAGGUGUAGAAGUUUAAAAAUUAGGUCUGUUCGACCUUUAAAAUCUUACAUGAUCUGAGUUCAAACCGGCGUAAGCCAGGUUGGUUUCUAUCUUUAAUUAAAUAAAAUAUUUUAGUACGAAAGGACCAAAUAUUUAAAAUAAUUUUUAAAAUUAUUGAUUUUUAUUAAUAUUUAUA